GGUUAAGCGACUAAGCGUACACGGUGGAUGCCCUGGCAGUCAGAGGCGAUGAAGGACGUGCUAAUCUGCGAUAAGCGUCGGUAAGGUGAUAUGAACCGUUAUAACCGGCGAUUUCCGAAUGGGGAAACCCAGUGCAAUUCGUUGCACUAUCAUUGCGUGAAUACAUAGCGUAAUGAAGCGAACCGGGGGAACUGAAACAUCUAAGUACCCCGAGGAAAAGAAAUCAACCGAGAUUCCCCCAGUAGCGGCGAGCGAACGGGGAGCAGCCCAGAGUCUGAAUCAGCUUGUGUGUUAGUGGAACGGUCUGGAAAGUCCGACGGUACAGGGUGAUAGUCCCGUACACCAAAACACACAGGUUGUGAACUCGAAGAGUAGGGCGGGACACGUGGUAUCCUGUCUGAAUAUGGGGGGACCAUCCUCCAAGGCUAAAUACUCCUGACUGACCGAUAGUGAACCAGUACCGUGAGGGAAAGGCGAAAAGAACCCCGGCGAGGGGAGUGAAAAAGAACCUGAAACCGUGUACGUACAAGCAGUGGGAGCCUCUUUAUGGGGUGACUGCGUACCUUUUGUAUAAUGGGUCAGCGACUUAUAUUCUGUAGCAAGGUUAACCGAAUAGGGGAGCCGAAGGGAAACCGAGUCUUAACUGGGCGUUAAGUUGCAGGGUAUAGACCCGAAACCCGGUGAUCUAGCCAUGGGCAGGUUGAAGGUUGGGUAACACUAACUGGAGGACCGAACCGACUAAUGUUGAAAAAUUAGCGGAUGACUUGUGGCUGGGGGUGAAAGGCCAAUCAAACCGGGAGAUAGCUGGUUCUCCCCGAAAGCUAUUUAGGUAGCGCCUCGUGAAUUCAUCUUCGGGGGUAGAGCACUGUUUCGGCUAGGGGGUCAUCCCGACUUACCAACCCGAUGCAAACUGCGAAUACCGAAGAAUGUUAUCACGGGAGACACACGGCGGGUGCUAACGUCCGUCGUGAAGAGGGAAACAACCCAGACCGCCAGCUAAGGUCCCAAAGUCAUGGUUAAGUGGGAAACGAUGUGGGAAGGCACAGACAGCCAGGAUGUUGGCUUAGAAGCAGCCAUCAUUUAAAGAAAGCGUAAUAGCUCACUGGUCGAGUCGGCCUGCGCGGAAGAUGUAACGGGGCUAAACCAUGCACCGAAGCUGCGGCAGCGACACUAUGUGUUGUUGGGUAGGGGAGCGUUCUGUAAGCCGUUGAAGGUGUGCUGUGAGGCAUGCUGGAGGUAUCAGAAGUGCGAAUGCUGACAUAAGUAACGAUAAUGCGGGUGAAAAACCCGCACGCCGGAAGACCAAGGGUUCCUGUCCAACGUUAAUCGGGGCAGGGUGAGUCGACCCCUAAGGCGAGGCCGAAAGGCGUAGUCGAUGGGAAACAGGUUAAUAUUCCUGUACUUGGUGUUACUGCGAAGGGGGGACGGAGAAGGCUAUGUUGGCCGGGCGACGGUUGUCCCGGUUUAAGCGUGUAGGUGUGUGUUCCAGGUAAAUCCGGAAUGCUUUAACACUGAGGCGUGAUGACGAGGCACCACGGUGCUGAAGUGACAAAUGCCCUGCUUCCAGGAAAAGCCUCUAAGCAUCAGGUAACACGAAAUCGUACCCCAAACCGACACAGGUGGUCAGGUAGAGAAUACCAAGGCGCUUGAGAGAACUCGGGUGAAGGAACUAGGCAAAAUGGUGCCGUAACUUCGGGAGAAGGCACGCUGAUAUGUAGGUGAAGUGAUUUACUCAUGGAGCUGAAAUCAGUCGAAGAUACCAGCUGGCUGCAACUGUUUAUUAAAAACACAGCACUGUGCAAACACGAAAGUGGACGUAUACGGUGUGACGCCUGCCCGGUGCCGGAAGGUUAAUUGAUGGGGUUAUCCGUAAGGAGAAGCUCUUGAUCGAAGCCCCGGUAAACGGCGGCCGUAACUAUAACGGUCCUAAGGUAGCGAAAUUCCUUGUCGGGUAAGUUCCGACCUGCACGAAUGGCGUAAUGAUGGCCAGGCUGUCUCCACCCGAGACUCAGUGAAAUUGAACUCGCUGUGAAGAUGCAGUGUACCCGCGGCAAGACGGAAAGACCCCGUGAACCUUUACUAUAGCUUGACACUGAACACUGGUCCUUGAUGUGUAGGAUAGGUGGGAGGCUUUGAAGUGUGGACGCCAGUCUGCAUGGAGCCGACCUUGAAAUACCACCCUUUAAUGGCUGGUGUUCUAACGUGGGCCCGUGAUCCGGGUUGCGGACAGUGUCUGGUGGGUAGUUUGACUGGGGCGGUCUCCUCCCAAAGAGUAACGGAGGAGCACGAAGGUUAGCUAAUCCUGGUCGGACAUCAGGAGGUUAGUGCAAAGGCAUAAGCUAGCUUGACUGCGAGAGUGACGGCUCGAGCAGGUGCGAAAGCAGGUCUUAGUGAUCCGGUGGUUCUGAAUGGAAGGGCCAUCGCUCAACGGAUAAAAGGUACUCCGGGGAUAACAGGCUGAUACCGCCCAAGAGUUCAUAUCGACGGCGGUGUUUGGCACCUCGAUGUCGGCUCAUCACAUCCUGGGGCUGAAGUAGGUCCCAAGGGUAUGGCUGUUCGCCAUUUAAAGUGGUACGCGAGCUGGGUUUAGAACGUCGUGAGACAGUUCGGUCCCUAUCUGCCGUGGGCGCUGGAGAAUUGAGGGGGGCUGCUCCUAGUACGAGAGGACCGGAGUGGACGCAUCACUGGUGUUCGGGUUGUCAUGCCAAUGGCACUGCCCGGUAGCUAAAUGCGGAAGAGAUAAGUGCUGAAAGCAUCUAAGCACGAAACUUGCCCCGAGAUGAGUUCUCCCUGACCCUUUAAGGGUCCUGAAGGAACGUUGAAGACGACGACGUUGAUAGGCCGGGUGUGUAAGCGCAGCGAUGCGUUGAGCUAACCGGUACUAAUGAACCGUGAGGCUUAACCUU
rnacentral:rRNA from 1 species